UGUUCAUUGGUAGGUGGCUCUUCAA
rnacentral:piRNA from 1 species